UAAAAUUAAUUUUAGUUUAAAAAUUUAUAUUUAGCUUUAAAUUUUAUAAAUAAAUGGUUUAAUCAUUAUUUUCAUUAUUAAUUUUAAAAGUUAAUAAGAUGAAUAUUUAAAUUUAAUAUUUAAUUUUUAUUAUUUAUAAUAAUUUAUAUUUAAGAAAAGUUAAUUUAAUUUAUUGUCAAAAUUUUGUGCCAGCAGUCGCGGUUAUACAUAAAAUAUUUAAAUUGAUUUUAAUUUUUGAAUGUUAAAUUGUAUAAUUUAAAAUUUAAUUUAAUUUUUAUUAAAGUGAAAUUUUAGAUUUUAAUAUAAAUUUAUUUAAUGGAAUUUAUAAUUUAGAUUUAAUAAAUAAACUGUUAAACUAGAAUUAGAUACUCUAUUAUAAUUUAAUUACCUAUAAUUUAAAAUUAAAUUACUUAUAGUUAUUUACUAAAAAUUUAAAUAAUAUGGCGGUUAUUUAAUUAAUUUAGAGGAACUUGAAUAAUUUUUAAUUGAUACUUCACGAUAAAUUUAACUCUAUUUAAUAUUUAUAUAUCGUUGUUAUAAAAAUUUUUUUAUUGAAGUCAUUUAAAUAUUUUAAUUUUAAUAUUUUAAUUUAUAUCAAAUCAAGAUGUAGUAAUUUUAGAGAUAUUAUUGAGUUACAUUUAAUUAUAUUUUUAAUUAUUUAAAUGUUGAAUUAUAUUGAAAUUUAAAUAGGAAUUGGAUUUAAAAGUAAUUAUUUUUAAUUAUCUAUAAUGAUUAUAAUUUUAAUUAAUGUACAUAUUGCCCGUCACUCUUUUUAAUAAUUAAUUUAAUUUAAAUUUUAUUAUAAAAAAGAUAAGUCGUAACAAAGUAGAUGUACUGGAAAGUGUUUCUAGAA
rnacentral:ncRNA from 1 species